rnacentral:lncRNA from 1 species
UUACUUUGAGCUCUAUCUUCUCUCUAGCCUCCACCUUGAUUCCGCCGUUGAAUAUUUGAUUCGGAGGUGUUCUAGCAUUCACGGUGAAGAGAGCUUCAAAAAGGACCGAACAGUUCUUCGUUUCAGCGGAUAAGUCGUUUUCUCCUCUUUCUCUCGCUGUUCUUGAACUUAGGGCAUGUGAUUCUGCCUUUGCAUGUGCCUUGUACGUUCUUCUUUACAUUCCUUAUAUUGUUCUAGCUUUAAGAGUUGUUCUAUCACCACUGGGGGUUUGUAGG